rnacentral:rRNA from 1 species
CCUACGAGUGGCCGCAGUAGGGAAUAUUGCUCAAUGGGGGAAACCCUGAACCAGCCAUGCCGCGUGGAGGAUGACGGUUUUCUGAUUGUAAACUCCUUUUGUUAGAAAAGAUAAUGACGGUAUCUAACUCAUAAGCACCGGCUAACUCCGUUCCAGCAGCCGCGGUAAUAUGGAGGGUGCAAGCGUUACUCGGAAUCACUGGGCGUAAAGCGCGCGUAGGCGGGUUAACAAGUCAGAUGUGAAAUCCUAUGGCUUAACCAUAGAACUGCAUUUGAAACUGGUAUUCUAGAGUAUGGUAGAGGUAGGUGGAAUGCUUGGUGUAGGGGUAAAAUGCGUAGAGAUCAAAAGGAAUACUCAGUGCGAAGGCGACCUGCUAGGACAUAACUGACGUUGAGGCGCGAAAGCGUGGGGAGCAAACAGGAUUAGAUACCCGGGUAGUC